rnacentral:ncRNA from 1 species
UUUUUAUAAUUUAUAAAUUUUAAUUUUAAUUUAUUUUACAUAUAAAUUUUAGUGUGUAUUUUUAAUUAUUUUAAUAAUAAUUAAUUUAUAAUAAUAGUAAUUAAUAUUAAAAAUUUAAGAAAUUAAGAUUUAGUAAUAUAAAAAUAAAUAACAAAUUUUGUGCCAGCAGUUGCGGUUAAACAAAAAUUUAAUUAAAUUUUAUUAGAUUUUAAUAAAUAAUUUUUAAUAAAAUUAUAAAAUAUUAAAUUAUUAGGUGAAAUUUUAAUUUAAUUAAAAUUUAUAGAAAAAAAUUAUGAUUUAAUAAAUUUUAAUUUAAACUAGGAUUAGAUACCCUAUUAUUAAAAAUUUAAGUUUAAAAACUAAAAUAGUAAUUAAUUAUUUAAUGAAACUUAAAUAAUUUGGCGGUAUUUUAGUAUAUUUAGAGGAAUCUGUUUAAUAAUUGAUAUUCCACGAAUAAAUUUACUUAAUUUAAAAUUUUGUAUAUCGUUGUUAAAAAAAUAUUUUUUAUAAAUUUGAUAAUAUUUUAAAAUUAAAAUAAAUAAUUUAAAUCAGAUCAAGAUGCAGAUUAUAAUUAAGAAUAUAAUGGAUUACAAUAAAUUUAUUUAAAUGAAUAUUAAUUUGUAAAAAUUAAUUAAAAGUGGAUUUAAAUGUAAUUUUAUUUAAUUUAUUAAAAUGAUUUUUAAUUAAAAUAUGUACAUAUUGCCCGUCGCUUUCAUUAAUAAAUUGAAAUAAGUCGUAACAAAGUAGGGGUACUGGAAAGUGUUCCUAGAAAGAU